GACGAACGCUGGCGGCGUGCCUAACACAUGCAAGUUGAGCGACGAACCAGGGCUUGCCCUGGGGCAAAGCAGCGAACGGGUGAGUAACACGUGGGUAACCUGCCCCGAUUACCGGGACAACCCGAGGAAACUCGGGCUAAUACCGGAUGUGCUCGCCGGACAUCAGUCCGGCGCGUAAAGGUAGCUUCGGCUUCCGAAUUGGGAGGGGCCCGCGGGUCAUUAGCUAGUUGGUGAGGUAACGGCUCACCAAGGCCGCGAUGACUAGCUGGUCUGGGAGGACGAUCGGCCACACGGGGACUGAGACACGGCCCAGACUCCUACGGGAGGCAGCAGUGGGGAAUCUUGCGCAAUGCGCGAAAGCGUGACGCAGCAACGCCGCGUGGGGGAAGAAGGCCUUCGGGUUGUAAACCCCUUUCAGGAGGGACGAAGGUUCGGCAGUUAACAGCUGUCCGGACUGACGGUACCUCCACAAGGAGCCCCGGCUAACUACGUGCCAGCCGCCGCGGUAAAAC
rnacentral:rRNA from 1 species